AAUAAGCUAUUUAAGAGCGUAUGGGGGAUGCCUAGGCUCUCAGAGGCGAUGAAGGACGUGAUAAGCUGCGAUAAGCUGCGGGGAUUGGCACACACAAUUUGAUCCGCAGAUUUCCGAAUGGGGAAACCCACUAUAUUGAAGAUAUAGUAUCCGUUAAGGAGGUAAACCCAGGGAACUGAAACAUCUAAGUACCUGGAGGAAAAUAAAACAAAAGUGAUUCCGUUAGUAGUGGCGAGCGAACGCGGAUUAGCCCAAACCAAAGUUGUUUCGGCAA
rnacentral:rRNA from 1 species